rnacentral:rRNA from 1 species
CAUAGGUUUGGUCCCAGCCUUCCUGUUAACUCUCAACAGACUUACACAUGCAAGCAUCCACGCCCCGGUGAGUAACGCCCUCCAAAUCAAUAAGACUAAGAGGAGCAGGUAUCAAGCACACAUCUUGUAGCUUACAACGCCUCGCUUAACCACACCCCUACGGGAGACAGCAGUGACAAAAAUUAAGCCAUAAACGAAAGUUUGACUAAGCCAUGUUGACCAGGGUUGGUAAAUCUCGUGCCAGCCACCGCGGUCAUACGAUUAACCCAAGCUAACAGGAAUACGGCGUAAAACGUGUUAAAGCACUACAUCAAAUAGAGUUAAAUUCUAAUUAAACUGUAAAAAGCCAUAAUUACAACAAAAAUAGAUGACGAAAGUAACCCUACUGCAGCUGAUACACUAUAGCUAAGACCCAAACUGGGAUUAGAUACCCCACUAUGCUUAGCCCUAAACACAAAUAAUUACAGAAACAAAAUUAUUCGCCAGAGUACUACCGGCAACAGCCCGAAACUCAAAGGACUUGGCGGUGCUUUAUACCCUUCUAGAGGAGCCUGUUCUAUAAUCGAUAAAC